rnacentral:rRNA from 1 species
GACGAACGCUGGCGGCGCGCCUAACACAUGCAAGUCGAACGGAGUUAAUUUUUCUGAAGUUUUCGGAUGGACGAAGGAUUAACUUAGUGGCGAACGGGUGAGUAACGCGUGGGUAACCUGCCUUUUAGAGGGGGACAACAGUUGGAAACGACUGCUAAUACCGCAUAAGACCACAGUACCGCAUGGUACAGUGAUCAAAGGAGCAAUCCGCUAAAAGAUGGGCCCGCGUCUGAUUAGAUAGUUGGUGGGGUAACGGCCUACCAAGUCGACGAUCAGUAGCCGGACUGAGAGGUUGAUCGGCCACAUUGGGACUGAGACACGGCCCAGACUCCUACGGGAGGCAGCAGUUGGGGAAUAUUGGCACAAUGGAGGAAACUCUGAUGCAGCGACGCCGCGUGAGGGAAGAAGGUAUUCG